rnacentral:lncRNA from 1 species
UCUAGAUUAGUCCCACACUGCCUUCCUUAUUGAUUUAAAAACACACCAAACAUACUCAAGUUAAAUUGUCUUGCUUUGGAUCACUUGGCAGCUCACUUCUCCUCGUUUCAGCUAUAUCUCUGCAUUGUUAAACAUAAAAUAGUGUGAGCUUUUUCAAGCUCGGUGAGUGCUUAGAGAUUGCAACAAGUAAUCACAAUAUCCAAAGUUAGAAGAAAGCAUACAAUCACAAUUAAUCAUGACCAAUAUAAUGUGUAGCGUAAAGCUAUCAACCUCUUAUUGUUUUAUGCACACUUUCACAUAUCACACACCUCAUGUUCAUAUCACAUAUUCAAGUCUCAUAUCAUGCACUUACAAGGGCUCACAUUAUGCUCAAAAAGUCACAACAUAUAGAUCUCAUAUAGUGUAUAUAAAAUCAGCAAGACUCAUAUCAUAUUCAGUCAUAAACACAUAACAUUUUUAUUGUCAUCUCAAUAUAUAACACAUAACAUAUCACAUUUAAGCAUCAUUUGCAAAUCAUCAUUAGUUUAGGUAGAAACACCUACUCUUGAAAAUUGGACGGUGUGGAUGUGUUUAGAUAGCUAGAAAAUCAUCAAGGAUGAGUUAAUUUUGAGAGAAAAUAUUAGAGUUGAAUUUGGGGAAAUCGUAUAUACAUCAUUUUAAUUAAAAAAAAAUUUAUAAUAUUGUAAAUAAAACCAUGAUGAUAGUUUUGUCUCACCUUAAAUCAUUUUGAUUAAAAUAUAUUUAUAUUUUAUUAAUAUAUUAAUAAAAUAGAAUAUAUUUUAAUUAAUACAUGAUCUUAUUUAUUAUUUAUUAUAUGUUAUUUUUAAACAUUAAAUACGUGACUUCCACACGCAUAUGCGUGCGAUAAGAUCUCUAGUGUUAUUUGAACCUUUCAGACAAUAAAAUUUUUAAUUAUUAGACUCUUGAUAUACUCUUAAAAACAAUCUACAUUUUUUUCUAAAUCUAGACCCAUUUUUGGCCUAGCUCGGGCAAUCCAAACAAUAACUCAUUUUACUGUUCAAAAAUAAUAAAAUAAUUUUAUAUUAAUAUUUUUAUAUUUAAAUUUAAAUUUAAAAAUAUUUUUAUUAUUUAAAUUGAAUUCGAGUUGUACCGUCUCAAGACAUGGAGGGGUCUAUAGCCAACUUCUAUACCAUAUUUUUUUUUACUUUAAAAUUUGAAGUGAAUAUAUAUUAUUACAUAAAAUUUAAAAUUUAUUAAAAUUUACGAGAUAAUAGAUGAGUGUUAAAUGUGAUAAAAGAUCAUAAAUUAUAAAUAUGAAAAUUUAGAAGAUUAUUUUGGGAAGUACAUAUAUAUAUAUAUAUUAGAGAAGAAUAAGGGAAUAUAAGGAAUGGUAAUUGGUAAGAGAGGGAAAAUGUUUAAAAAGUGAAGGCAGUUUGAUUAUUUACCUUUGCCUCUCAGUCUCCAUGCUCUUAACCUCUUCCUUCCAUCAUUCCUUUUCUCCUCUCUUUUGCACUAUCUUCCCCCC